rnacentral:rRNA from 1 species
UACAGAGGGGGCAAGCGUUAUUCGGAAUUAUUGGGCGUAAAGGGCGCGUAGGCGGCGAUUCAAGUGACGGGUGAAAUCCCUCGGCUUAACCGAGGAACUGCCUGUCAGACUGGAUUGCUUGAGGCCGGGAGAGGCGAGUGGAAUUCCCAGUGUAGCGGUGAAAUGCGUAGAUAUCUGAAGGAACAUCAGUGGCGAAAGCGACUUCCUGGACCAAUACUGACGCUCAUGUGCGAAAGCGUGGGGAGCAAACAGG